rnacentral:lncRNA from 1 species
CACCCACCCCGGAUCGCGGCUGUCUUAAGGGACCUGGAUUCAUCAGGGGCUCUUCGGGGCCUGUGCGAGUGCUGAUCUGCUCCGUUUUUGCAAAAGGCGCCUGUGUCUGGCAGAGCUGGUGUGAGACGAGACAAUCCUGCCCCGCCGCCGGGAUAAUCAAGAGUUUUGGCCGGACCUUUGAGCAUACACCGAGAGAGUGAGGAGCCAGACGACAAGCACACACUAUGGCGCUGAAACGGAUUAAUAAGGAACUUAGUGAUUUGGCCCGUGACCCUCCAGCACAAUGUUCUGCAGGUCCAGUUGGGGAUGAUAUGUUUCAUUGGCAAGCCACAAUUAUGGGACCUAUAAGCAACUAUAUGCUGGAUAAUUGAAUAUUCAGAAUUAUGGAUACCAUCUAAGAAUUUCAGAGAAUUAGAGCGCACUAAAACAUCCUGGGAAUGACAGCCCAUAUCAAGGCGGUGUAUUCUUUUUGACAAUUCAUUUUCCUACAGACUACCCCUUCAAACCACCUAAGGCAAG